rfam:Schistosoma rodhaini strain Burundi genome assembly, scaffold: SROB_scaffold0000388
GUCUAGCUGACGAGUCCCAGAUAAGACGAAACGGAUGUCCUGGAU